ensembl:lncRNA
CUGGGUCAUAAAACUGAAAAAAAAAAGAAAGAAAGAAAGAAAGAAAAAAGACCGCUGACAAAAGGCCUCUCUAGUCUUCAAAGGGAUACAUUUGAAAGAGGGCAGGAAGCACUUAGAAGUUUUCUACAGUCACUUCGCUGGUAGGAGCAAUGUACCUGUGAACGUGACAGGGCUGGAUAUUUCUAGCUGUCAGGAAUUUGUUCCUUGAGAAGAAUGUGGCUGAUGGUGGAUUAAUAUAGGGGACUCCCUGAGGACCAUGGUUUAGCUGCUGCUGGACCCUCCUAGCUGUUGCAUGUUUUGGGAAAUCAAGAAUGCAAUUGGGAUCUCAGUGUCAUCUCAACGAGGAAGGUGUGCGUGGAAGUAGCUCGUGCUGUGGACCAGGUGUUCCUUCUCUUAAAAUGUGCCCAACCCAGCCCUCGUAUCAAAAGUCCUCAUAAUUUGCCGGAGGACAGAAAAUGUACUCACAUAAACUACGAAACUGCACAGAAAAAUUUUACUUUUCUAAUGCAUGGAAUCUCCAUUCCUCACGAUGGACGCGUUUUGUUAAAGAGACCAGUGGAAGCCAAGAGUCUGAAGCCAAAGUGCAAAUCAGUAACAGCUAUUCCUGGUGGAGGACAGGAUGUGCGUACCACCUAGCACGUUGUAUAUUCACAGACAUAAAGGAUGCACAAAACAUGCCACGCACUGCAUUUCUGCGCUAAUGCAUAGGAGGCUAAUGAUAAACUCUUCGCUCACUCAAUGAUUUGGUAUUCAUGUUUUGACUCAAAAUUUAAUGCCUUUCCUGAAG